UGGGGAAUUUUGGACAAUGGGGGAAACCCUGAUCCAGCCAUCCCGCGUGUGCGAUGAAGGCCUUCGGGUUGUAAAGCACUUUUGGCAGGAAAGAAACGUCAUGGGUUAAUACCCCGUGAAACUGACGGUACCUGCAGAAUAAGCACCGGCUAACUACGUGCCAGCAGCCGCGGUACUACGUAGGGUGCAAGCGUUAAUCGGAAUUACUGGGCGUAAAGCGUGCGCAGGCGGUUCGGAAAGAAAGAUGUGAAAUCCCAGAGCUCAACUUUGGAACUGCAUUUUUAACUACCGGGCUAGAGUGUGUCAGAGGGAGGUGGAAUUCCGCGUGUAGCAGUGAAAUGCGUAGAUAUGCGGAGGAACACCGAUGGCGAAGGCAGCCGCCUGGGAUAACACUGACGCUCAUGCACGAAAGCGUGGGGAGCAAACAGG
rnacentral:rRNA from 1 species